AUUGAACGCUGGCGGCAUGCCUAACACAUGCAAGUCGAACGGCAGCGCGGUGGUGGUGACACUACUGGCGGCGAGUGGCGGACGGGUGAGUAAUAUGUAGGAAUCUACCCAGAGGUAGGGGAUAACUUGGGGAAACUCAAGCUAAUACCAUAUGAGCCUUACGGGGGAAAGCAGGGGAUCGAAAGACCUUGCGCCUUUGGAUGAGCCUACAUCGGAUUAGCUAGUUGGUGGGGUAAAGGCCUACCAAGGCGACGAUCCGUAGCAGGUCUGAGGGGAUGGCCUGCCACACUGGGACUGAGACACGGCCCAGACUCCUACGGGAGGCAGAAGUGGGGAAUAUUGGACAAUGGGCGCAAGCCUGAUCCAGCAAUGCCGCGUGUGUGAAGAAGGCCUUCGGGUUGUAAAGCACUUUCAGUGGGGAGAAAGGGGUGUGCGUUAAUACCGUACAUCAUUGAUGUUACCCACAGAAGAAGCACCGGCUAACUCUGUGCCAGCAGCCGCCGUAA
rnacentral:rRNA from 1 species